UUUCAUCUUCGGGGCGUGGUGAAAUUCCCGACCGGCGGUAAUAGGAUACAGUCCUUGAGCCCGCGAGCCGAUAAGGCAGGAUCUGGUGCGAUUCCAGAGCCGACAGUAUAGUCUGGAUGGGAGAAGAUGAAG
rnacentral:ncRNA from 2 species